UACGUAGGGUGCGAAUGUUACUCGGAAUUACUGGGCGUAAAGGGCCUGUAGGCGGUCAUACAAGUUAGCUGUUAAAGACCUAUGCCCAAAGUAGGGAGAGCAGCUAAUACUGUAUAGCUAGAGUACAGCAAGGGAUGGUGGAAUUCCCGGUGUAGGGGUGAAAUCUGUAGAGAUCGGGAGGAAUACCGAUGGCGAAGGCGACCAUCUAGGCUGAUACUGACGCUGAGGGGCGAAAGCCAGGGGAGCAAACGGG
rnacentral:rRNA from 1 species